GACGAACGCUGGCGGCGUGCUUAACACAUGCAAGUCGCACGAGUGGCGAACGGGGGAGUAAUAAGUGGGUAAAAUGCCAUAUGUGUGGGAGAAGCCUUGGAAACGGGGUAUAAUACCGAAGAACGGGGGAUGGGCUCGCGGCUUAUCAGCUGGUUGGUGGGGUGCUGGCCUACCAAGGCGGUGACGGGUAGCGGGCCUGAGCGGGUGACCGGCCACAGUGGGACUGAGCUACGUCCCAGACGACUCCGCGAGGCAGAAUUGGGGGAUAUUGCACAAUGGGCGAUAGCCUGAUGCAGCGACUCCGCGGGGGGGAUGAGGGCUUUCGGGUUGUAAACCUCUUUCGCUAUCGAACCGGUAGGUGGAGAAGAAGCGCCGGCUAACUACGUGCCAGCAGCCGCGGUAAUAC
rnacentral:rRNA from 1 species